rnacentral:snoRNA from 1 species
AGGCACUAUCUUUGAACCUUUGGGUAUCUGACCUGUGACCUCAGAGUCUAGGGACAAUGUCAGAGAAGAUGUAGCGUUUUCACAUCCGGAGCUGCUUUGUGGUGCCACCUCAGGGAUUCCUUUAGCAGCAAAUGACAUUU